AGCUGCAUCCGAGGUGUAUUUAAGUUCCUGGACUAGGGGUUGAAUCAGAGCUGCAUCUGAGGAGUAUGCCACAGCCAUAGCAACACGGGAUCUGAGCCACAUCUGCGUUGUACACCGUAGCUUGUGGCAACACUGGAUCCUUAACCCACUGAAUGAGGCUAGAGAUCAAACCCCCAUCUGCACGGAGACUGUGUUGGGUUCCUAACCCACACAGCCACAAAUGGAAACUCCACCAGUGAUUAUUUAAAUGUCACUUGAGCAAAGAGAGAAACUGAACUCAAGACUAAGAGAAGAAAACAUAUAUACACAUACACACGAAUACCGACAUAUGCAUACACGCACAUGCACACAUAUACCCCUGCAUGUAUAACACACGUGCAUCAGUACAUACAUACAUAUACCCAGGAGAAAAAGAAUAGAAUAAACUAUUCAAAAACCGUGGUUCAAAGAAAGGACAUGUCCUGUGCAUCCUCUAAGUGCAAGGACAUUGGGGUUACAAAGACGAACCUGCAGAGUGCCUCUAUCCCCAAGAAGUCUGAGGACUGAGUAAGGGAGUUACAAUUAGCUCACAAGUGGAAUGGUGUUCUGAAUGCCAUUUGAGUCUGAAAUCAAAUCAAAACUCUUAUAAUGUUCAAUUAACCUGGGGUCUCUACAGCACUUCUCUUCUGGGCAGAAAUUCAAUGGAAAGGAUUUGCUGGCUCUUGUAAACCCAAAGUAUGUAAAUAGUCCUAAGUGUUGAGCUCUCAGAGGAGAUGAAAAUACUCUGUCUCCAAUUAAUGAAGAGCAGAUAAUUUGGUCAUAUCUCCUACUGGGCUCACUGUGUUAAUUACACAAGCCCUAAACUCAUUCUUAUUAGACAGGGCCUCUCAAUCUGGGCAUUAUUGAUAUGACAGACUAGGUUACUAUUUUUUAUAGGUGGGGAGGCUGUCCUGUGCAUUGUAGGAUGUUCAGCAGCUUUCCUGGCCUCUACCCACUAGAUGCCAAAAACAUCCCAGCAUGACAACCAAAAAUGUAUCCACAGAUUUUCCACCACCUUCUUGGGGACAAAAUACCCCCUUGGGAAAACCAUCAACUUAAGAUGAUACUUCUAAAGUAAUCUGAUCUAAAUACACAGUUAGAAAGGAUUACGGAGGUAUAACUUUUCUUACUUGUCCUUUGCUGGUUAGAUCUAUUCAAAUACUCCUGAAAUAUCACAGGUGGAAUUGUGCCCAAAUGUUCAUCUGCAAUAUUUUAUUAGGGAAAUUUUUUCUUGUUCUGAGUAAUUAUGAGUGACAUGCACGUAUGAGGCAAUGUCAGAUGGUAAUAAAAAGUGGUAACUGUCCCUGAAUACUUGCUCAUAGGUCCAGUUAUGGGAUAUGAAAACAACAGUGGCUCAAGAUAAGGAUUAGGCUAUAUGUUCAUUACUUGAGGAGUUGUUCUUCCCCAGGAGAGGUGAAAAUGAAUACACUCAGUGCUCCAGAACACAGAAAAGACAUGAUAAAGAUGGAUUUCAGAGACAGCAUCAGGAGUGCAUUUUCCAAAAGGAUGAGAAUUCCAGGUAGUAACAACAUCCAGAUGAGAGUCAGACCCAGGCCAGCCUCUGGAGGAUGAAGACUCCAGGAUGAAAGAUGUAUCCUUUUUCAUGGUUGACAUGGCCUGACUCCACCCAUCCUGCACUAAUGAGGGGCUAUGGGCCAUGUGAUGGUCACUGGGGAGAUCAACCUUUGCCAUGAGGAGUUUGCCUCCACUUUCUGCCCAACUUCCUGCCUCAGGGAAGGAUCGAGACUGCUCUGGAAACAAGCACAGCCUCCUGCGGUGUUGGGUCUCAGACACCAAAUGUCAACAAAGAGCUGAUUUCUACUCCAGCUCUGAACAUUCAAGGCCGGAGCCCUGAGAGCCAGUGUUUUGGAAAAUUGUUGUAUCCUAGAGCAAACCUGUGUCCUUUCUCUGAUCUAGAGGGGCCAACUCAUCCUCAUGAUGGCAGCUAGAGUCUGAAGACCACAUUCUUUGAAUACAGAAUUAGAACAUGCGGUCUAUUAGGAGUUACCUCAUUAAAGGAGCAUAAUACUUGAAGUUAGGAAAGUCCUAGAAAGUCCAGGCCAACCUACCUGGGAUGAAACAAGACACUGAAGACCUACAAUCACCAAAGCCAGUCUACCCAUGCAUGUACCUUGGACACACACACAUCCAGGUGACAUAUGGCCAAAAUGGAAAGCUACUGUGUGUCAGCCUCUAUCCUAGGUGCUGAAUAGAUAGCAGUGAACAAGGCAAGGGGGAGGUGACAAGUAGCCAGAAGACAAAUAGUAAAGGGGAUAAUGAGUAGGCAGUGAAUGUGAUGGGCAUGGGCACCCUUCUCUUCAGUAUCCUCAGCUCUCAGUCCACUCAGCACAUGGCAGGAGUGUACUUCCUGGCCUCUGUGGUAGGUGGCCCUGUGGCUGCUUCUUUGACUACGUCAUGAGCAGAAGCGAUGUGUCCCCCUUGUAGGCAGGAAACUUUGUUGCCAGUACAAGACCCUCUGAGGACCAGUGACAUUCAGUAUGGCAGCUGCUACUGCAGCUUAGUCUGCAGGGCAACUACAGCCAUUGAAGUCAUCUGAAGAUGGCCCCCUGACAUGAGUGAGAAAUAAGGCUGUAUUUAAAGCUGCAGAGACUUUAAGGUUGUUUGACAUCUCAGCAUUAAGUCCUCUGUCUAACUGACACAGAGAUAAUGCAAAGACAAAGAUGUGAAGGAGAGAAGAAUAAUUUGUAGCCUUGACAAAACGUUUCUCUGAGAGCCUGCUGUUUUGAGCUGCAAUCUCAGAUGGAGACAUGGGAACAUGGGAUGAGGAGGGCUGCCUUGUGGAGCCCCUGAAGACACAUCCAGGAGAUCCAGUCCAUUGAUGAUUAAGUCCGUUUGCUAAAAUAUUGCACCAUCCAAGCAUUGGCU
rnacentral:lncRNA from 1 species